UGAACAAGAGAACAGAUGGCUUCCCACAUG
rnacentral:piRNA from 1 species